rnacentral:lncRNA from 1 species
AAACAAGCACAUCAAGUCCUUGUGGGGGCAAUUAAAAAGAAAGUGAUUGUCUAUUUAGCCACAAGUAUAAAGUCACCAUCAUAAUUGAGUUUUGAGAACAUGGAUAGUUGCCUUUACCAACAACUUUGCUCCUCAUAACAAUUAGACCUUGCUUCAACAUAUUACCUUUACCCACCUCUUUAAAUGAGAAACAAAGUCAGUAUUGGACCCGCAUACUUAAGUCUAUGUUUGAUAGAGUAUGUUUUUAAUCCACAAUUAAUUUUUUAAUAGGAUUAUAUACUGAUAAUUAUUCACGAAAUUAAUAACAAAAGAAGUGAUACAUAAAGUCACAAAUAUAUCAAUAUGUUUGAUAGCUCAUGUUGUAUAAUUAAGUUUUUAUUUGUAUUGUGUACCAUGUAUUUGGCGACUCAAGAUGAGUGAUGUAUACCUAUUUUGGGGGCG